rnacentral:rRNA from 1 species
CUUGUCUGGUUAUAAUAAUUGUAGAUGUGGUUGUAUAUAAGAAUUAGGUUGUAGCUCCAGCGUUAGAAGUAAUAGUUAUUCUUGAAAGGUUAUUUUAAUGCGACAAUAGGGAUUCCAUAGAAUUAGAAAUAAGGUAUUUAUAUCCUAGAAUUUAAGUUAAUAGUUUCAAUUUUUAAUUCUUCAAUAAUAUAAGAGUAUAGUGGGGUUAUAUUAUAAAUUAAAAUUAUUAUAUAAAUAUGUUGGUUUUAUUAUUAUAAUUUUAGUUAUAAUUCUAGAUAUCCCAGAAGAGCAGGGAAUAAUUAUAAAUUCGGAAAAUUGAAUUUUCAUUUUAAGUUAAUUAAUAUAGUCUCUGUGAUUAAUAAAGCAAUUUAGUAAGUAAGGUCAARGGUUAAUUUUUUGAUUACUAAUACGAUGGAACCGUGCCAGUUUUAUGGCGCCAGGAAAUUAUUAGAAGUCACCUGUCUGAGCUGAAGGGUAUUAAGGUUCUUC